GGGAAGUGAAGAAUCUUUUCCUUUUUAAUAGAUUUUUCAGGAGGGGAAAAUCAAAAGACAACCCACAGGCAUUUGGAAACAAUUGUGCUGAAGACAGAAAGCACACCUAACAUUGAGCUGGGAAAACUGGACGCUCCCAGCAAGCUCACUUUGCAGAUUCUUGAAUGUCAGAAGAAAAGACCAGAGGAUUUCAACUGCCACUAGCCCCUUACUGCUUCCAGCCACUUACACUGGGCAGCAGAAAGAAAGAACAGAAAGCAGAGGACUUCAAAUCACCACCUAGCAUUACUCCUGUGAUUUCUGGAAAAGCAGGCCAAAGGAAGAUUUCAGGACAUGGGCUCUGAACUGACAGUGAAUCCAGGAGCCUGGGAAGAUCUCUAUGGCCCUCCAAUUGGAGCAAGGGCUUAUGGAGCAGAGCCUUCUGGAAAUACAGCUGCUAUCAACCCCCCUCCGAGGGGGUUUCCUGCCAAUUCCAGGAAGGAGACAGACUGCCCAUUCUCAUCAGCCUUAGGAAAAACCCAACAGAACCUUCCAUGCUUCCCACUGAAGCCCUAAACUUCCCCUGCCCCCCCUUUUUUUUUUAUUAAAUUGGUGCGAAUUGAGCAUUCCUAAUUCAAAACCCUGAAAUCUGAAAUGCCCUAAAACAGAGCCUUUUUGAAUGUUGGCUUGAUGCCACAAGUGGAAAAUUCCACGCAUAAGUAACAUAACACAAACUUUGUUUC